rnacentral:rRNA from 1 species
AUUGAACGCUGGCGGCAGGCCUAACACAUGCAAGUCGAGCGGAUGAAGGGAGCUUGCUCCUGGAUUCAGCGGCGGACGGGUGAGUAAUGCCUAGGAAUCUGCCUGGUAGUGGGGGAUAACGUCCGGAAACGGGCGCUAAUACCGCAUACGUCCUGAGGGAGAAAGUGGGGGAUCUUCGGACCUCACGCUAUCAGAUGAGCCUAGGUCGGAUUAGCUAGUUGGUGGGGUAAAGGCCUACCAAGGCGACGAUCCGUAACUGGUCUGAGAGGAUGAUCAGUCACACUGGAACUGAGACACGGUCCAGACUCCUACGGGAGGCAGCAGUGGGGAAUAUUGGACGAUGGGCGAAAGCCUGAUCCAGCCAUGCCGCGUGUGUGAAGAAGGUCUUCGGAUUGUAAAGCACUUUAAGUUGGGAGGAAGGGAAGUAAGUUAAUACCUUGCUGUUUUGACGUUACCAACAGAAUAAGCACCGGCUAACUUCGUG